UUUCCGGUUGAUCCUGCCGGAGGCCAUUGCUAUCGGAGUCCGAUUUAGCCAUGCUAGUCGAGCGAGGUUAGCCCUCGCGGCGAACAGCUCAGUAACACGUGGCCAAGCUACCCUGCAGAGGGGGACAGCGUCGGGAAACUGACGGGAAUCCCCCAUACCGGUCUCACGCUGGAAUGCCGAGACCGACAAACGCUCCGGCGCUGCAGGAUGCGGCUGCGGCCGAUUAGGUAGUCGGUGGGGUAACGGCCCACCGAGCCGAUAAUUGGUACGGGGUGUGAGAGCACGAGCCCGGAGACGGAAUCUGAGACAAGAUUCCGGGCCCUACGGGGCGCAGCAGGCGCGAAACCUUUACACUGCACGAACGUGCGAUAAGGGGACUCCGAGUGCGAGGGCAUACAGUCCUCGCUAUUGUGUACCGUAGGGUGGUACACGACCAAGAGCUGGGCAAGACCGGUGCCAGCCGCCGCGGUAAUACCGGCAGCUCGAGUGAUGGCCGAUUUUAUUGGGCCUAAAGCGUCCGUAGCUGGCCCUGCAAGUCCGUCGGGAAAUCCACUCGCCUAACGAGUGGGCGUCCGGCGGAAACUACAGGGCUUGGGACCGGAAGACUUGAGGGGUACGUCUGGGGUAGGAGUGAAAUCCUGUAAUCCUGGACGGACCGCCGAUAGCGAAAGCACCUCAAGACGACGGAUCCGACAGUGAGGGACGAAAGCUAGGGUCUCGAACCGGAUUAGAUACCCGGGUAGUCCUAGCUGUAAACGAUGUUCGCUAGAUGUGGCACAGGCUACGUGCCUGUGCUGUGUCGUAGGGAAGCCGAGAAGCGAACCGCCUGGGAAGUACGUCCGCAAGGAUGAAACUUAAAGGAAUUGGCGGGGGAGCACUACAACCGGAGGAGCCUGCGGUUUAAUUGGAUUCAACGCCGGAA
rnacentral:rRNA from 1 species